CGGGCUGUGGCUCAGUGGUAGAGCACUCGUCUAGCAUGUGCGAGGCCCUGGGUUCAAUCCUCAGCACCACAU
rnacentral:tRNA from 1 species